GAAGAACAACAACAACAAGAAGGG
rnacentral:siRNA from 1 species